rnacentral:tRNA from 1 species
GGGCUUGUAGCUCAGUGGUAGAGUGCUUGCCUUGCAUGCACAAGGCACUGGGUUCAUUCCCCAGCACCA